CGGGGCUACUGCUCUGUAAUUGGCAUGGGGGCGACCUUCACCCUCGCCCGAGUACCCAUUGGAGGGCAAGUCUGGUGCCAGCAGCCGCGGUAAUUCCAGCUCCAAUAGCGUAUAUUAAACUUGUUGCAGUUAAAAAGCUCGUAGUUGAAUCUCACGUCCCGCCCUAGUGUUCUUCACUUGGCGGACGCCUCGUUACUUUGAGAAAAUUAGAGUGUUUCAAGCAGGUUUCGCCUGUAUAAUUGAGCAUGGAAUAACCUUGUAUGACCCUGUCGUACCGUUGGUUGGCUUUGGGUAAUGGUUAAUAGGAACGGUUGGGGGCAUUCGUACUCGACUGUCAGAGGUGAAAUUCUUAGAUUUGUCGAUGACGCACGACUGCGAAAGCAUUUGCCAAGGACGCUUCCAUUAAUCAAGAAC
rnacentral:rRNA from 1 species